rnacentral:rRNA from 1 species
AUGGCGAAGAAUGGAGGAGAGGGCCCAGCGAUCGGCAUCGACCUGGGCACCACCUACUCGUGCGUCGGCGUGUGGCAGCACGACCGAGUGGAGAUCAUCGCCAAUGACCAGGGCAACCGCACCACGCCCUCCUACGUUGGCUUCACCGACACCGAGCGCCUCAUCGGCGACGCCGCCAAGAACCAGGUCGCCAUGAACCCCACCAACACCGUCUUCGGUACGUCCUCCUGCACCGCUCCUCUUCUUCUAGCUUAG